CUCCCCCGUUGCUGACCCCUAGGUUCGAUAGCGCCAAUUAGGCGCAACCUCGCCAAGAACCAACUUCGGUGAAGCGACGGGCGGUGUGUGCAAGGAGCAGGG
rnacentral:rRNA from 1 species